GACGAACGCUGGCGGCGUGCUUAACACAUGCAAGUCGAACGGAAAGGCCCUGCUUUUGUGGGGUGCUCGAGUGGCGAACGGGUGAGUAACACGUGAGUAACCUGCCCUUGACUUUGGGAUAACUUCAGGAAACUGGGGCUAAUACCGGAUAGGAGCUCCUGCUGCAUGGUGGGGGUUGGAAAGUUUCGGCGGUUGGGGAUGGACUCGCGGCUUAUCAGCUUGUUGGUGGGGUAGUGGCUUACCAAGGCUUUGACGGGUAGCCGGCCUGAGAGGGUGACCGGCCACAUUGGGACUGAGAUACGGCCCAGACUCCUACGGGAGGCAGCAGGGGGGAAUAUUGCACAAUGGGCGGAAGCCUGAUGCAGCAACGCCGCGUGCGGGAUGACGGCUUUCUGGUUGUAAACCGCUGUCGCCUGUGACGAAGCGUGAGUGACGGUAAUGGGUAAAGAAGCACCGGCUAACUACGUG
rnacentral:rRNA from 1 species